GGCGGACAGGGGAGGUUAUGUCUGUUCGGCGUUUGUGCACGUGCCCGAACCGACGAAAUUUGCGAUCACGGGGCGUGACAUAAAUUAUUUUAAAAUAGAGUUUAUUAAAAUAUUAUUAUUUGUAAAUAUAAAAAAAAAUUCUAAAUUUCUUUACAAAAUCACUUUAGAAAAAUUAUUUUCCAUCUAAACUCAGUCAAAUACUCUAGCCUUUAACUAAAAUUAAUUAUCC
rnacentral:lncRNA from 1 species